AGUGAACGCUGGCGGUAGGCCUAACACAUGCAAGUCGAACGGCAGCACAGUAAGAGCUUGCUCUUACGGGUGGCGAGUGGCGGACGGGUGAGGAAUACAUCGGAAUCUACUUUUUCGUGGGGGAUAACGUAGGGAAACUUACGCUAAUACCGCAUACGACCUACGGGUGAAAGCAGGGGAUCUUCGGACCUUGCGCGAUUGAAUGAGCCGAUGUCGGAUUAGCUAGUUGGCGGGGUAAAGGCCCACCAAGGCGACGAUCCGUAGCUGGUCUGAGAGGAUGAUCAGCCACACUGGAACUGAGACACGGUCCAGACUCCUACGGGAGGCAGCAGUGGGGAAUAUUGGACAGUGGGCGCAAGCCUGACCCAGCCAUACCGCGUGGGUGAAGAAGGCCUUCGGGUUGUAAAGCCCUUUUGUUGGGAAAGAAAAGCAGCAGGUUAAUACCCCGCUGUUCUGACGGUACCCAAAGAAUAAGCACCGGCUAACUUCGU
rnacentral:rRNA from 1 species